AGAGACAGGUUCUCACUUUGUUGUCCAGGCUGGUCUUGAGCUCCCGGCCUCAAAUGAUUCUCCCACCUCGGCCUCAAAAAGUGCUACGACUACAGAGGAGACCCACUGUGCCUGGCCUAAGGACGCUUGAACGUAAAUUCUGUUUCUCCAGUGAAGUUCAAGUUGGCAGUCUCAAUUCAUUCCUCCACGUGAAGAUCUUCUGCUCGCAACCCGGCAGUAGGAAUGCAGCGACCGGAGCACGGUUAAUAUAAAUACAAUGCGAGUUACUGUGUGGGCAACAUGGCUGGGAUCACCACCAUCCAGGCGGUGAAGCGCAAGAUUCAGGUUCUGCAGCAGCAGGCAGAUGAUGCAGAGGAGCGAGCUGAGCGCCUCCAGCGAGAAGUUGAGGGAGAAAGGCGUGCCCGGGAUCAGGGAGAGGCUGAGGUGGUCUCCUUGAACCGUAGGAUCCAGCUGGUUGAAGAGGAGCUGGACCAUGCUCAGGAGCGCCUGGCCACUGCCUUGCAAAAGCUGGAAGAAUUGGAAAAAGCUGCUGAUGAGAGUGAGAGAGGUAUGAAGGUUAUUGAAAACCGGGCCUUAAAAGAUGAAGAAAAGAUGGAACUCCAGGAAAUCCACCUCAAAGAAGCUAAGCACAUUGCAGAAGAGGCAGAUAGGAAGUAUGAAGAGGUGGCCUAUAAGUUACUGAUCAUUGAAGGAGACUUGGAAUGCACAGAGGAAUGAGCUGAGCUGGCAGAGUCCCGUUGCUGAGACAUGGAUGAGCAAAUUAGACUGAUGGACCAGAACCUGAAGUGUCUGAGUGCUGCUGAAGAAAAAUACUCUCAAAAAGAAGACAAAUAUAAGGAAGAGAUCAAGAUUCUUAGUGAUAAACUCAAGGAGGCAGAGACCUGUGCUGAGUUUGCAGAGAGAUCGGUAGCCAAGCUAUAAAAGACAAUUGAUGACUUGGAAGAUAAACUGAAAUGCACCAAAGAGGAACACCUCUGUACACAAAGGAUGCUGGACCAGACUCUGCUUGACCUGAAUGAGAUGUAGAACACCCCAGUCCCACCCUGCUGCUGCUCCUCCCUCUGACCCAGACUCUGCCUGAGGCCAGCCUGCCCGAAGCUGCCCUUUAACUGAGGCCUGAUCUUUAACUGGAAGGCUACUUUCUCCUUUUGCCUCCCCCUCCUUCCCUGUGUCUUUUUCGCCAAACUGUCUCUGCCUCUUCCUGGAGAUUCCAGCUGGGCUGGAGGCUGAGCACCUUUGGAAACAACAUUUAAGGGAAUGUGAGCACAAUGCAUAAUGUCUUUAAAAAGCAGGUGGUGAUGUACACAUUUUGUCAUUACCUUUUUUGUGGUUUUGUAGCAACAUUUGUAAAACAUUCCAAAUAAUUCCACAGCCCUGAAGCAGCAAUCGAAUCCCUUUCUCACUUUUGGAAGGUGACUUUUCACCUUAGUGCAUGCAUAUUCCCCUCUCCAUAGAGGAGAGGAAAAGGUAUAGGCCUGCCUUACUGAGAGCCAAGCAGAGCCGGGGGAGACUCCCCUGUGGGAAGCCUCAUUGCUCUGUACAAAGUACUAGCCAAACCAGAAAGGUGAUUCCGGGAGGAGUUAGUCAAACAACAACAAGGACAAAAAAUGUGCUGUUCACGUUUUCAGCUUUAAGAUAUCGUUGGAUAAUGUUAUUUCUAUUUUUUAUUUUUUUCAUUAGAAGUGACUAAAUUAAGAUGGUAAGACCUCUGAGACCAAAAUUUUGUCCCAUCUUUACCCCCUCUCAACUGCCUACAGAAUGGAUCUUGUCUCCCUUAUGUGGAGGUGACCACGUAAUUGCUUUCCUGCCUCCUUGAAAGAAAGAGAUUGUGUUUUUGCCACUGAUUUAAACCAUGUGAAACUCAUUACCCUUUUCUGGGUUCGAAGCUGCUGUCUCUAGAAGUGCCAUCUCAUUGUGCUUUGUAUCAGUCAGUGCUGGAGAAAUCUUGAAUAGCUUAUGUACAAAACUUAAAAUUUCAUAUUAUUUUGAAACUUUGCUUCUUUGGGUUUGUGGCAGCCUGGCCACCCCAUCUGGCUGUGACAGCCUUGGCAGUCCGUGGGCUGGCAGUUUGUUGAUCUUUUAAAAUUUCUUUCCCUACCCAGUCCCCAUUUUCUAGUAAGGUUUCUAGGAGGUCUGUUGGGUGUACAUCCUGCAGCUUAUUGGCUUAAAAUGUACUCUCCUUUCGUGUGGUCUCUUUGGGGUCAAUUGGGAGAAAGAGAAAUCAAUAGUGGGACUGUUUUAAUACUGAAUAUUGAUAAGUGACUUUUUGAAAUAAAGAACCAGUCCCUCCAAAAUAUAUAUACACACACAUACACACACACACACACAAUGCAAGCCCACCUAGAUAAUUUUAAAUAUUCUGGUAGCCACAUUAGAAAGGUUAAAAGUCCAGGUGAGGUUUCUUAAAAAUUAAAAUUGUAUAAAUAAAAAUAUUAAAAGAAAGUGAAA